ACAGAUAUACUAAAACACACAGACACAUACACUGACAGACACAUUGACACACACACACAGGCAUACUGACAUAUACACACACACACACACACACAGGCAUACUGACAUAUACACAGACAGACGUAAUGGCUGAUACAGACAGACAUUAAACAUUCACAGAUAUAUACUGACACACACAUACACUGACAUACAAAUAUAUCCUGG